CAUGCAAGUCGAACGGCAGCGCGGGAGCAAUCCUGGCGGCGAGUGGCGAACGGGUGAGUAAUACAUCGGAACGUGCCCAAUCGUGGGGGAUAACGCAGCGAAAGCUGUGCUAAUACCGCAUACGAUCUACGGAUGAAAGCAGGGGAUCGCAAGACCUUGCGCGAAUGGAGCGGCCGAUGGCAGAUUAGGUAGUUGGUGAGGUAAAGGCUCACCAAGCCUUCGAUCUGUAGCUGGUCUGAGAGGACGACCAGCCACACUGGGACUGAGACACGGCCCAGACUCCUACGGGAGGCAGCAGUGGGGAAUUUUGGACAAUGGGCGAAAGCCUGAUCCAGCCAUGCCGCGUGCAGGAUGAAGGCCUUCGGGUUGUAAAGCUCUUUUACCCGGGAUGAUAAUGACAGUACCGGGAGAAUAAGCCCCGGCUAACUCCGUGCCAGCAGCCGCGGUAAUACGGAGGGGGCUAGCGUUAUUCGGAAUUACUGGGCGUAAAGCGCACGUAGGCGGCUUUGUAAGUCAGAGGUGAAAGCCUGGAGCUCAACUCCAGAACUGCCUUUGAGACUGCAUCGCUUGAAUCCAGGAGAGGUGAGUGGAAUUCCGAGUGUAGAGGUGAAAUUCGUAGAUAUUCGGAAGAACACCAGUGGCGAAGGCGGCUCACUGGACUGGUAUUGACGCUGA
rnacentral:rRNA from 1 species